CCUGGUAGUUCUAGCUAAGGUGACACACCCGAUCCCAUUUCGAACUCGAACGUGAAACCCUUAUGCGCCGAUGGUACUUCGUCUUAAGACGCGGGAGAGUAGGUCGCUGCCAGGC
rnacentral:rRNA from 1 species